UACGAAGGGGGGCUAGCGUUGUUCGGAUUUACUGGGCGUAAAAGCGCACGUAGGCGGAUUGUUAAGUCGGGGGGUGAAAUCCUGGAGCUCAACUUCAGAAUUGCCUUCGAUACUGGCUUUCUAGAGGCUGGAAGAGGUUAGUGGAAUUCCCAGUGUAGAGGUGAAAUUCGUAGAUAUUGGGAAGAACACCAGUGGCGAAGGCGGCUAACUGGUCCAGAUCUGACGCUGAGGUGCGAAAGCGUGGGGAGCAAACAGG
rnacentral:rRNA from 1 species